UACAUAGGGUGCAAGCGUUAAUCGGAAUUACUGGGCGUAAAGCGUGCGCAGGCGGUUAUGUAAGACAGUUGUGAAAUCCCCGGGCUCAACCUGGGAACUGCAUCUGUGACUGCAUAGCUAGAGUACGGUAGAGGGGGAUGGAAUUCCGCGUGUAGCAGUGAAUGCGUAGAUAUGCGGAGGAACACCGAUGGCGAAGGCAAUCCCCUGGACCUGUACUGACGCUCAUGCACGAAAGCGUGGGGAGCAAACGAGG
rnacentral:rRNA from 1 species